rnacentral:rRNA from 1 species
UGGGGAAUAUUGGACAAUGGGCGAAAGCCUGAUCCAGCCAUGCCGCGUGUGUGAAGAAGGCCUUUUGGUUGUAAAGCACUUUAAGCGAGGAGGAGGCUACUUGGAUUAAUACUCUAGGAUAGUGGACGUUACUCGCAGAAUAAGCACCGGCUAACUCUGUGCCAGCAGCCGCGGUAAUACAGAGGGUGCGAGCGUUAAUCGGAUUUACUGGGCGUAAAGCGUGCGUAGGCGGCUUCUUAAGUCGGAGGUGAAAUCCCUGAGCUUAACUUAGGAAUUGCAUUCGAUACUGGGAAGCUAGAGUAUGGGAGAGGAUGGUAGAAUUCCAGGUGUAGCGGUGAAAUGCGUAGAGAUCUGGAGGAAUACCGAUGGCGAAGGCAGCCAUCUGGCCUAAUACUGACGCUGAGGUACGAAAGCAUGGGGAGCAAACAGG